AAGUCGUAACAAGGUUUCCGUAGGUGAACCUGCGGAAGGAUCAUUAGCAAGAUUGCGGACCUCUGCGCGAGUGGAGGCGAGCAAGUAUGCCAUCCUUGUGUUAUGUAUUUAUAAUUGUAAGAGUGUGCGCGUAAACCUCGAGUUCGCGCGCACGCACACUGCAUCUUUUACACAAACUCAUCCUUUCUUUCUUAACCUCUUUUUGCUUGGCAACAAGCAUUAAAAACAAUCGAAAACUGCCAGCAAUGGAUCACUCGGUUCUC
rnacentral:misc_RNA from 1 species